rnacentral:lncRNA from 1 species
AUUUCGGACUGUGGCACUCUAUUUUUUUUUUAAAUGGCACAGUUAAUUAUUUGUUAUAAACCAGUAAAAUUAAAAGUGUACAGUUAUACGAUUCCUGGUGAAUUGAGAAAGUUUGGGCACCGUUGGUGCAAGGUCGUAGAAGGCGAAACCCAGAGAACAGAAGUUUUUCCACUUUAACAUGAAUAUAGUUUGUGCACUUAGAUGUUAGGACAGGUCGGGCCCAAAGGGGAGUUAGAACUAGGUUCAGUCCUCACACCCUUAACGUCUUUUUCUGUCUUCAGUCUCAGGGGUGUUGAAAGCCAGGCGUGGAAGCCUUUAAGCUUUCAGGACGCAGGCUGUCGAGUGUGGUGUGUCCAGGUGCAAAGUUCCGUGUGUUUUAGCAUGCUGGCAGCAAGAAAGAGGACUUUGUAUAAAAUAAGAAAUGUGCACAAGCUGCUUCUGUAUUUGUUUAAACCCAAUUGCACAUAUUCUUUGUCAGUCUCUGAGUCCGUCUGGAGGGAGAGGGCUUUGGAUUCCUGAUCUGAACAAAGUUGGUUUCUAUCAGCCUCCUUUAUCAAGAAGGGACAGACCUAGGAAAUGCAAGGGAAAUGCUAGCCAUUGUGCAAAACUGCCAACUACCCUAAACCAGGGGUGAGAGCUUAGGAAGAAAGUGCAUGAUCCUCAGUCUUGGAGCAAAUGAGGAAUAAAGCGAAGAAUGGACCAUGGGAAUGUAGCCUCAGAAUAGUGCCCCUUAGGAUGAGACUAACAAAGGCAUUUCAACUCAGCUAGUGGAGCAGGAACCAUGAGGCAGGGCCAAAAACAGGGAGAAAGAAUCAGAGGAAGAGCUCUUGGACUCUGCUCCUGUUUUCACUAGCUUCAGUGUGGCUUUGUUUCUGAGGCUGGCAGAUCAGUGGAUUCAACACCUCAUUCUAGCAAGCUUGGUUCUGAAGUUUCAUAGAACUUGGGCACAUCGCAGAGACCCUGUUAUUGGGUGAUAUUGCUGACUAAACCACACGUGAGUUGAUGAUGUCUUUCAUCCCAAAAGAAUGUGUUCUAGUAAGGAGGGGUUGACCCAAACUCAAAUACUGCAAAGGGGGGACAGCAGGGAAAGCUGGGGUGUGAGCUGCGGAUGGAAUCUCCAGGGCUGGAGUUCAAAGUAGAAAUGUCUCCUAGUGUGGCAGGAACCAGAAAGAAGGGACUGAAGCACUCCACAUUUCUUGUUUGUUUCCAUGCCUCCCUUGCCAACCCCCUUGCCUUGUUCCCUUAGUGGUUUAACCCUUGGGAAACUGUAAGCUCUGAUCAAAGUACACAGCUUGGCAGGAUAUGAGAGUGUGGUGUUUGCAUUCUCUCUUGGUGUGUGGGGGGAUAAACUUUGAGGAGGGCAAUUUAGGAGGGAAGGUGGAGGCUCCCCUAGAUACACAUUCUGGCACAGUAAUCUCCCCUCCAGAAGCUUAUCUUGGGGAAAUAAUUGGACGUGGACACAAGAUGUGUGUGCAGUUUUAUUGUCACAGCAAGUUAAUCAGGGAAAGGAAGGGAAGAAGGAAAAUAAAGAACCCAAAUAACUAGCAAUAGAGAAAGGAUCACAUGCGGUAAUCCAAAUGAUGAACCAUUAGGCACUGAAAAGAAAAUGUAGAUAUAUGGUUUUGGACAUGAAGCCAUGUCCAAGAUACAGUGUUUGGUGAAAAAAGGCAGAGUACUGAUUUUCGUAUUAGGAAAAAGCAGAGAUGUAUACACUAAAAUGUCAACUGUAUUAAUCUGUGUGAUGAGAUUUAGAUGAGUUAAAAUUUUUCUUUUGUGCUUUGUUGUUAUUGUUGUUGUUUUUUAAAUAAUCUUGUAUUACUUUUGAAAUUUCAAAAUGUGUUUUGAAAAAUAAAAGAGCAGUUUCAUUA